rnacentral:rRNA from 1 species
AUUGAACGCUGGCGGCAUGCCUUACACAUGCAAGUCGAACGGUAGGGGGGCAACCCCUGAGAGUGGCGAACGGGUGAGUAAUGCAUCGGAACGUGCCCAGUUGUGGGGGAUAACGUAGCGAAAGCUACGCUAAUACCGCAUACGACCUGAGGGUGAAAGGGGGGGAUCGCAAGACCUCUCGCAAUUGGAGCGGCCGAUGUCAGAUUAGCUAGUUGGUGGGGUAAAAGCCUACCAAGGCGACGAUCUGUAGCUGGUCUGAGAGGACGACCAGCCACACUGGGACUGAGACACGGCCCAGACUCCUACGGGAGGCAGCAGUGGGGAAUUUUGGACAAUGGACGCAAGUCUGAUCCAGCCAUGCCGCGUGCAGGAAGAAGGCCUUCGGGUUGUAAACUGCUUUUGUCAGGGAAGAAAUCCCUUGGGAUAAUACCUCGGGGGGAUGACGGUACCUGAAGAAUAAGCACCGGCUAACUACGUGCCAGCCGCCGCGGUAAAAC